GGUCUUAUGGCUGAGUGGUUUAAGCGGAGUACUGUUAAUACUCUAUACAGGAGUUCAAAUCUUCUUAAAGUCU
rnacentral:tRNA from 1 species